AUAAUGUAUGCGAUACGAAGUUAUUACGAUAACUGCUGAAAGCAUAUAAGUAGUAAGCCCACCCCAAGAUGAGUGCUCUCUCCUCCGACUUCCCUAGAGCCUCCGGUAUCACAGCCGAGACAGCGACGGGUUCUCCACCCAUACGGGGAUGGAGCGACAGAAGUAUGGGAAUAGGAUAAGGUAGCGGCGAGACGAGCCGUUUAAAUAGGUGUCAAGUGGAAGUGCAGUGAUGUAUGCAGCUGAGGCAUCCUAACGAACGAACGAUUUGAACCU
rfam:Hordeum vulgare subsp. vulgare, WGS project CAJW01000000 data, contig: morex_contig_729324